AUUGAACGCUGGCGGCAGGCCUAACACAUGCAAGUCGAGCGGAUGAAGGGAGCUUGCUCUUGGAUUCAGCGGCGGACGGGUGAGUAAUGCCUAGGAAUCUGCCUGGUAGUGGGGGACAACGUUUCGAAAGGAACGCUAAUACCGCAUACGUCCUACGGGAGAAAGCAGGGGACCUUCGGGCCUUGCGCUAUCAGAUGAGCCUAGGUCGGAUUAGCUAGUUGGUGAGGUAAUGGCUCACCAAGGCGACGAUCCGUAACCGGUCUGAGAGGAUGAUCAGUCACACUGGAACUGAGACACGGUCCAGACUCCUACGGGAGGCAGCAGUGGGGAAUAUUGGACAAUGGGCGAAAGCCUGAUCCAGCCAUGCCGCGUGUGUGAAGAAGGUCUUCGGAUUGUAAAGCACUUUAAGUUGGGAGGAAGGGUUGUAGAUUAAUACUCUGCAAUUUUGACGUUACCGACAGAAUAAGCACCGGCUAACUCUGUGCCAGCCGCCGCCGUAACAC
rnacentral:rRNA from 1 species